UACGUAGGGACCAAGCGUUGUUCGGAUUUACUGGGCGUAAAGGGCGCGUAGGCGGCAAUUCAAGUCAUCUGUGAAAUCUCCGGGCUUAACCCGGAACGGUCAGGUGAUACUGUUUUGCUAGAGUGCGGAAGGGGCAAUCGGAAUUCUCGGUGUAGCGGUGAAAUGCUUAGAUAUCGAGAGGAACACCAGAGGUGAAGACGGGUUGCUGGGCCGACACUGACGCUGACAGCGCGAAAGCCAGGGGAGCAAACGGG
rnacentral:rRNA from 1 species